GACGAACGCUGGCGGCGUGCUUAACACAUGCAAGUCGAACGGAAAGGCCCUUCGGGGUACUCGAGUGGCGAACGGGUGAGUAACACGUGGGUAAUCUGCCCUGCACUUUGGGAUAAGCCUGGGAAACUGGGUCUAAUACCGAAUAGGACCACGGCAUUCAUGUGCUGUGGUGGAAAGCUUUUGCGGUGUGGGAUGGGCCCGCGGCCUAUCAGCUUGUUGGUGGGGUAAUGGCCUACCAAGGCGACGACGGGUAGCCGGCCUGAGAGGGUGACCGGCCACACUGGGACUGAGAUACGGCCCAGACUCCUACGGGAGGCAGCAGUGGGGAAUAUUGCGCAAUGGGCGCAAGCCUGAUGCAGCGACGCCGCGUGAGGGAUGACGGCCUUCGGGUUGUAAACCUCUUUCGCCAGGGACGAAGCGCAAGUGACGGUACCUGGAGAAGAAGGACCGGCCAACUACGUGCCAGCAGCCGCGGUAA
rnacentral:rRNA from 1 species